rnacentral:rRNA from 1 species
AUUGAACGCUGGCGGCAGGCCUAACACAUGCAAGUCGAACGAGUGGCGGACGGGUGAGUAAUGUCUGGGAAACUGCCUGAUGGAGGGGGAUAACUACUGGAAACGGUAGCUAAUACCGCAUACCCUCAGAUGUGCCCAGAUGGGAUUCGCUUGUUGGUGGGGUAACGGCUCACCAAGGCGACGAUCCCUAGCUGGUCUGAGAGGAUGACCAGCCACACUGGAGCGUAGCCACGGUCCAGACCCCUACGGGAGGAAGGAGGGGGGAAUAUUGCACAAUGGGCGCAGGCCUGAUGCAGCCAUGCCGCGUGUAGGAAGAGGGCCUUCGGGUUGGAAAGUACUUUCAGCUGGGAGGCGUUACCCGCAGAAGAAGCACCGGCUAACUCCGUGCCAGCAGCCGCGGUAAUAC